rnacentral:tRNA from 1 species
GGGUAUAUAGCUCAGUGGUAGAGCGCAUGCUUAGCAGGCAGGAGGUCCUGGGUUCAAUCCUCACUACCUCCA